rnacentral:rRNA from 1 species
CCUACGGGAGGCAGCAGUUAGGAAUAUUCGUCAAUGGGGGAAACCCUGAACGAGCAAUGCCGCGUGAGUGAUGAAGGCCCUAUGGGUUGUAAAACUCUGUUGUAAAGGAAGAAUACCUAGUAUAGGAAAUGAUGCUAGGAUGACGGUACUUUACCAGAAAGCCCCGGCUAACUACGUGCCAGCAGCCGCGGUAAUACGUAGGGGGCGAGCGUUAUCCGGAUUUAUUGGGCGUAAAGGGUGUGUAGGCGGUUUGUUAAGUCUAAAAUCAAAGCCCGAGGCUUAACCUCGGUUCGUUUUAGAAACUGGCAAACUAGAGUACAGUAGAGGCAAGUGGAAUUUCUAGUGUAGCGGUUAAAUGCGUAGAUAUUAGAAGGAACACCAGUGGCGAAGGCGGCUUGCUGGGCUGUUACUGACGCUGAGACACGAAAGCGUGGGGAG